rnacentral:lncRNA from 1 species
GGACUGGAAUGUACCAGUAUGCCCCAGUAUAACCCAGUAUGGACCAGUAUGGACCAGUAUGGACCAGUAUAGCUCAGUAUGGACCAAUAUGGCCCAGUAUGGACCAGUAUAGCUCAGUAUGGACCAGUAUAGCCCAGUAUGGCCCAGUAUGACCCAGUAUGACCAGUAUGAACCAUAUAGCCCAGUAUAGUCCAGUAUGGAACAGUAUGGAACAGUAUGGCCCAGUAUAACCCUGUAUGGGCCAGUAUGAACCAGUCCCCUCCCAGAAUGGACUAGUAUAGACCAGUAUAACCCAGUAUGGACCAGUAUGACCCAGUAAGGACCAAUAUGGACCAGUAUGGACCAGUAUGGACCAGUCCCCUCCCAGUAUAACCCAGUAUGGACCAGUAUGGCCCAGUAUAACCCAGUAUGGACCCAGUAUAACCCAAUAUGGACCAGUAUAACCCAGUAUGGACCAGUCCCCUCCCAGAAUGGACCAGUAUAGACCAGUAUAACCCAGUAUGGACCAGUAUGACCCAGUAUGGACCAGUAUGGGCUGAACUGGGCUGAAAACUUCCCCCUUUGUUUUAUUCGCCUGUAAAACAACAAGAGGAGAAACAACGCGACCCCCAAGUCCUCCAAGCGACCCCCAAGUAAGUCCUCCAAGCAACCCAUAAGUCCUCCAAGCAACCCAUAAGUCCUCCAAGACCUCUAUGAUCACCAUCGUAGUCCUCCAUGGCAUCUCUAUGGUCCUCCAAGCACUCUAUGGUCACAGCUGAGGUCCUCCAAGGUGUCGCUGGGGUCCUCCAACAACUGUAUGGUCACCAUCGCUGUCCUCCAAGGCCUCACUUGGGUCCUCCAACAACUCUAUGGUCACCAUCAAGGUCCUCCAAGGUGCCAUCGGGGUCCUCCAUCAACUCUAUGAUCACCAUCAAUGUCCUCCAAGGCAUCUCUAUGGUCCUCCAAGGCAUCUCUAUGGUCCUCCAAGAACUCUAUGAUCCUUACGGUCCUCCAAGGCUUCACUUGGGUCCUCCAACAACUCUAUGAUCAAUGGGGAGGACCAUUGGGGAGGGAGAUGGGGACAUAGGGACCAAUGGGGUGGGGGACGGGAACAUACAGACCAAUGGGGUUGGAGAUGGGGAUAUAGGGACCAAUGGGGUGGGGAGAUGGUGUGGGGAUCCCCAAGCAGCCAAUCAGGAGGCCACGUAUGUCUCUGGGAUGGGGAAUAGGGACCAAUGGGGGGCGAGCUGAUCACGGAGGGGCCCAAUAGGAGCCAAUAGGGGCCCAAUAGGAACCAAUAGGGACCCAAUAGGGUUGGGAGGACCCAAUAGGAACCAAUAGGGGCCCAAUAGAACCCAGUAGGGGCCCAAUAGAAGCCAAGAGGGGAUGGGAGGAGCCAAUAGGAGCCCAAUAGAAGUCAGUAGGGACACAAUAGGAACCAAUAGGGGCCCAAUAGAGGCCAAUAGGGUUGGGAGGACCCAAUAGGAGCCAAUAGAAGCUAAUAGGGGAUGGGAGGACCCAAUAGGAGCCAAUAGAAGCCAAUAGGGGAUGGGAGGAUCCAAUAGGAGCCAAUACAAGCCAAUAGGGGAUGGGAGGAGCCAAUAGGAGCCCAAUAGAACCCAGUAGAGGUCCAAUAGGAACCAAUAGGGGCCCAAUAGGAACCAAUAGGGGCCCAAUAGGAGCCAGUAGGGACCCAAUAGAGGCCAAUAGGGAUGGGAGGAGCCAAUAGGAGCCCAAUAGAACCCAGUAGGGGCCCAAUAGGAGCCAAUAGGGGCCCAAUAGAGGCCAAUAGGGGAUGGGAGCACCCCAAUAGAAGCCAAUAGGGGAUGGGAGGACACAAUAGAAGCCAAUAAGGGCCCAAUAGAGGCUAUAGGGUUGGGAGGACCCAAUAGACGUCAAGUUGAUUAUGUUGAGAACCAAUAGGAGCCAUAGGGAUGGGAGGACCCCAAUAGGGAUGGGAGGACCCCAAUAGAAGCCAAUAGGGGAUGGGAGGACCCUAUAGACGUCGAGUUGAUCACGUUGGGGCCCAAUAGGAGUCAAUAGAAGC